ACUCCUACGGGAGGCAGCAGUGGGGAAUCUUGGACAAUGGGCGCAAGCCUGAUCCAGCCAUGCCGCGUGAGUGAUGAAGGCCCUAGGGUCGUAAAAGCUCUUUCGCCAGAGAUGAUAAUGACAGUAUCUGGUAAAGAAACCCGGCUAACUCCGUGCCAGCAGCCGCGGUAAUACGGAGGGGGUUAGCGUUGUUCGGAAUUACUGGGGCGUAAAGCGCGCGUAGGCGGAUUAGUCAGUCAGAGGUGAAAUCCCAGGGGCUCAACCCUGGAACUGCCUUUGAUACUGCUAGUCUUGAGUUCGAGAGAGGUGAGUGGAAUUCCGAGUGUAGAGGUGAAAUUCGUAGAUAUUCGGAGGAACACCAGUGGCGAAGGCGGCUCACUGGCUCGAUACUGACGCUGAGGUGCGAAAGUGUGGGGAGCAAACAGGAUUAGAUACCCUGGUAGGAUAGCG
rnacentral:rRNA from 1 species